GUCGUGGAGGUGAUUCCUUAGCUGGCCUAAAGGAAAUUGUCAAAUUUUAAUUUUAGCAUCAAGAAUAACAACUUCAAGGUGGGUUGAAGGAGCCACUUAUUAACUUUGUCUUUUCAAUUCUCCACAGAUGAGAAGGAAAACCUGUGAAGAAUCCUCGUUUGCCCUCUUCUGACUUAGGCUCUGGCAAAACCUCUCAGGAGACAGCUAUAUCAGGCUCCUAUCUGCAACCACUUCUUGGCAUCCAUAAUAGUGUCUGAGUUUGGUGUCUAUAUAUGGGAUGGAUCUCCAGGUACUAAAGGCAUAACAAGACUGAGAAAAUGACUUGCCAUGUCUUCUGUAAAGCUGAGAUCUUGGUGGUAGGCAGAUGAUCAAGAAUCAACAGUGAAAAAAAAUCAGUGAAUGUAAAAUCAAUCAAUUGCUCUGAAUAAAAAAAUAUUUCUAGACAUCACACAGUGUAGGUGGGCAGAAGACACUCAGAGGCAGAUGGAAGACCCUGGAGGCCAGCCCACUACCAUGCUACCAUUGUUUGGAAUCACCUAGAGACCUGCCAGAUGUGUGGGCCACUCACAGCAGGAGCCACAAAGAUGUGUGAGUCUGUAGUGGAGAAAUGAGAGAGAAAGAGUAACAGAAUGAUUUGAACACUAUGAAGAAAGGCAGAACUGGAGAAUCAAAGAUGGAGAGGAACAGCUUGAUGUGAAUAGCCUUCCCUGCCUCCUGAGGCAAUGAUGGAGUACUAUCCUGUGUUGACAUUGAGCAUCAUGUCUGGGUCUGUGGCCAUGCAGCAGCAGGGGUAUGUGUUGAUGUCUGUG
rnacentral:lncRNA from 1 species